CCUACGGUGGGCUGCAGUGAGGAAUAUUGGUCAAUGGACGCAAGCCUGAACCAGCCAUGCCGCGUGCAGGAAGACGGCCCUAUGAGUUGUAAACUGCUUUUGUACGAGGGUAAACGCAGAUACGCGUAUCUGUCUGAAAGUAUCGUACGAAUAAGGAUCGGCUAACUCCGUCCCAGCAGCCGCGGUAAUACGGAGGAUUCAAGCGUUAUCCGGGUUUAAUGGGUUUAAAGGGUGCGGAGGCGGGCGGAUAAGUUAGAGGGGAAAUGCCGGGGCUUAACUUAGGGAUGGCCGUUGAUACGGUUCGGCUAGAGAGUAGUUGAGGUAGGCGGAAUGUAUGGUGUAGCGGUGAAAUGCUUAGAGAU
rnacentral:rRNA from 1 species